GCUGCCUGAGAGCAACUUAGAUCAAAAUUGGAACGAUACAGAGAAGAUUAGCAUGGCCCCUCCACAAGGAUGACACGCAAAUUUGUGAAGCAUUCCAUAUUUUU
rnacentral:snRNA from 1 species